CAUCGCGCACUGGAGGAAACUCUGUCGCAGCGACGCCGCGCGAGCGAUGAAGGUCUUCGGAUCGUAACGCGCUGUACUUGGGGCAGGAGAACGAACGAUUUGGCGGUACCAGAGGAGGAUGCUCCGGACAACUACGCGUCAGCAGGCGCUGUAAUACGUAGUGGGCAAGCGUUGUCCGGAAUUAUUGGGCGUAAAGGGUGCGUAGGGGGCUUUUUAAGUCAUAUGUGAAAGACCACGGCUUAACCGUGGGGUUGCAUUUGAAACUGGAAGGCAUGAGUAUCGGAGAGGGUAGUGGAAUACCCAGUGUAGCGGUGAAAUGCGUAGAUAUUGGGAGGAACACCAGUGGCGAAGGCGACUACCUGAACGAAAACAGACGCUGAUGCACGAAAGCUAGGGGAGCAAACAG
rnacentral:rRNA from 1 species